CGGGAUAUAAGCUAUAUAUAAAAUGACAACUCUUCAUAUUAAAACUGGCUAAAGACAUGGGGUUUCGUCAUGUUGCCCAGGCUGAUGUAGAACUCCUGGCCUCAAACAAUCCACCUGCUUUGGCCUCCCAAAGUGCUGGGAUUACAGACGUGAGCCACCAUGCCCUGCUGGUUUAACGUUAUAUUCAAGUUUCUCCAACUGAAGGGCAUGUACUGUUGAGCAUGCUCAGAAGCCAAGGUUCAAGCCAUUCUUCAACUAUAGAUGCUUCAACUCAUCUCUCUUUCUUCGGAAUAUUCUCUCCCUUAUCAAUUUCACCAAUUAUACCAAGUAACCCCCUGCUUAUUCCCCUAGAACAGACAGAGCUGAAACUAGUCUGUGCCUUAUGUGAUUUAGAAAAAGACUCUUGGAAUGCAGCCCCAGACCAUGAUGUACAGAGCAUGAGUUGGGUAUUGCCCCAUUUUAUUCUCUAAUUCAGGUGCCCUUGUGCAGUGA
rnacentral:lncRNA from 1 species